rnacentral:rRNA from 1 species
AGAAUCAACGCUGGCGGCGUGCCUAACACAUGCAAGUCGAGCGGUAAGGCCUCCUUCGGGGGGUACACGAGCGGCGAACGGGUGAGUAACACGUGGGUGACCUGCCCUCAGCUCUGGGAUAAGCCUGGGAAACCGGGUCUAAUACCGGAUGGGACUGCUUGCCGCAUGGUGGGUGGUGGAAAGUUUUUUCGGCUGGGGAUGGGCCCGCGGCCUAUCAGCUUGUUGGUGGGGUGAUGGCCUACCAAGGCGGUG